CCUCCUGAUGGCCAAUCGGAGGGAGUGCGGCGGGUCCUCGUCCCGCCGCACUCGUCAUGCCCAGGAAGAACGCGGCACGGUGCCGCGCGGCAGCC
rnacentral:tRNA from 1 species